rnacentral:piRNA from 1 species
UGAGCUGGAUUCCACUUUGGGCCUGUC